GAUGAAGAACGUAGCGAAAUGCGAUAAGUAAUGUGAAUUGCAGAAUUCAGUGAAUCAUCGAAUCUUUGAACGCACAUUGCGCCCGCCAGUAUUCUGGCGGGCAUGCCUGUCUGAGCGUCAUUUCAACCCUCAUGCCCCUAGGGCGUGGUGUUGGGGAUCGGCCAAAGCCCGCGAGGGACGGCCGGCCCCUAAAUCUAGUGGCGGACCCGUCGUGGCCCCCUCUGCGAAGUAGUGAUAUUCCGCAUCGGAGAGCGAUGAGCCCCUGCCGUUAAACCCCCAACUUUCCAAGGUUGACCUCAGAUCAGGUAGGAAUACCCGCUGAACUUAAGCAUAUCAAUAAGCGGAGGA
rnacentral:misc_RNA from 1 species